rnacentral:tRNA from 1 species
AGCUCGGAGGUGGUGUAGACGCCUAGUUGAGCAUGCCCUCCGGAGCCGUGUGCGCAGGUUCGAAUCCUGCCGGGG